CCGAGUCCCAGGCCACCCCUUCCGUCAGCCCUGCAGGGUUCCCGGAUGUGCUUUCCCAACUUCCAUCUUGGGAGUCUGAACAUCGUGAGGCGUUUUGUGAGGAGACUCGACUCAGGUGCUCCAGGAACCAGGUAGUGACGAACUGGGUCUGAGUUGCACUUCCUAAAAGUCAGCACAGCAGAGGAGAUCCAGGCAGUGCCAGCAGUCAAGGUUACCAGGGGACAAACCCCUUAGGAAGACAGGCAACCUGUGAGGCCCUAGAGCACCACCUUACGAGAAGAGCUGUAAGUUGGCCUUUGUCAGAGCCAUCAUGGGUGUGUUUCUCAGCUGAGGUCACUCACACUGUCACUCUCUUUUACAGGUCUGUUGGAUCCCAUCAUCCAUAUCCCUGUUGAUAGGUUUAC
rnacentral:lncRNA from 13 species